UCAAAAUGCUCCCCUGACAAGCCAACCCACCCUUUUAUCACAGUGAUCUUUAUUGGCUAUAGCUGUGACUCAUCAGGGGUGAGGUUGUUUUGGGUAAUUAACACAUCUGUGACUCAUCAGGGGCAUGGUUGCCUGUAAUCCCUUCUCCUACAUGGGAUCACAGUUGCAGUGGGAGCUCAGGCUCCAGGCAUGGGCUUGGAUCCAGGUCUGGCAGCCAUGAGAGAAGAAGCCAGUUCAGGCAAUCAAGCAAGGGUGCAAGUACAUGUCAAAUAUGAAGGACACCUUAAAGACCUACUUAAUUGCUCCAUAAUGCAUAACCUGGCUGCUGAGGGCUGUUGCUGUCCUUCAACCUCAAGAAAUCUGAUGAGAUGUCCUGAGCACCUUAAUAAUGGGAAAGUCCCUAGUCAGCUGAUUUAGUGCAAAGGAAAUUUUUUUUUUUCUUUAUUUGAAGUCUUGGAAUAAUUUAAUUUUGAGAAAUUAAGAUAUGUCUGUAAUUAUUUUUUGUUAAGUCUUCAUUAGAAGUUGAUAUAUCGAGUGGACACCACAUAGAUGGAGUUAAAUGGUGACAAGAUAUUCUCCAGAGGUUGUUAUAUAUAUAUGUAAUUCAUGCUGUUUAGAAUAUAAAAUAAAUACAGGUUAUAAUGUUUACAAGAAAUAUAUAAGGAUGAUUUAAACUUACAUGCAGAUUCCGAUAAAUCCUACAGGAUAGAUGACAUACCAUUACAAAACUGCAGCCUUCAGCAGGAAGGGAACUAAUUUACAAUCGAAAAGGCCUAGCCGGGGUGGGGACUAUCUGCACCUACUUGAGAUCAAGAUAGUGGGAGCCAUUGAAAGAAUUGCAUUCAAAUGACGGGUCUGGUAACAUGAUCACCGGCCAUCAUUGCCUGCCCGGAACUGUAUUGUCAAACACUACCCGGAAGAAGGGGACAACAUGAAUAUGUCUGACCAGCGUUCAUCGCUGGACAGGAACUGCAUCUGCUGGUCCAGCUCAAAGAAAAGAGGCAGCAUGAAUAUGCCCAACCAGCGUUCAUAGUUCACCAGGAACUGUAUUCUUCAGUUCAGCUCGAAGAAAGGAAGCAACAUGAAUAUGGUUAACUAUGAAAAGAACAAGAAGUGACCCUGCCUCAGGCCAGAAAAAGAGUAUAAAAACAGACUGUACCAGACCACAGUUGUGAACACAGGGGGAUCUGAUAUGCUUGAGAUUGGACCGCAGUUCACCCAGCAUUGAAUUCCAGGGUCGAUGCUGUUCCUUUUUUUGUGGCUUUCAAAAUUGCAUAUCGGUUGCGCAAUAAAUUCUAUUUUUUUUUUUAUA